GAUGAACGCUAGCUACAGGCUUAACACAUGCAAGUCGAGGGGCAGCGGGAUUGAAGCUUGCUUCAAUUGCCGGCGACCGGCGCACGGGUGAGUAACGCGUAUCCAACCUUCCGCUUACUCGGGGAUAGCCUUUCGAAAGAAAGAUUAAUACCCGAUGGUAUAAUGAAACCGCAUGGUCUUAUUAUUAAAGAAUUUCGGUUAUCGAUGGGGAUGCGUUCCAUUAGGCAGUUGGUGAGGUAACGGCUCACCAAACCUUCGAUGGAUAGGGGUUCUGAGAGGAAGGUCCCCCACAUUGGAACUGAGACACGGUCCAA
rnacentral:rRNA from 1 species